rnacentral:rRNA from 1 species
AUUGAACGCUGGCGGCAGGCCUAACACAUGCAAGUCGAGCGGGGUUUUCGGACCUAGCGGCGGACGGGUGAGUAAUGCGUAGGAAGCUACCCGAUAGAGGGGGAUACCAGUUGGAAACGACUGUUAAUACCGCAUAAUGUCUACGGACCAAAGUGUGGGACCUUCGGGCCACAUGCUAUCGGAUGCGCCUACGUGGGAUUAGCUAGUUGGUGGGGUAAUGGCUCACCAAGGCGACGAUCCCUAGCUGGUUUGAGAGGAUGAUCAGCCACACUGGAACUGAGACACGGUCCAGACUCCUACGGGAGGCAGCAGUGGGGAAUAUUGGACAAUGGGCGCAAGCCUGAUCCAGCCAUGCCGCGUGUGUGAAGAAGGCCUUCGGGUUGUAAAGCACUUUCAGUAGGGAGGAAGGGGGUUGUGUUAAUAGCACAGCAUUUUGACGUUACCUACAGAAGAAGCACCGGCUAACUCUGUGCCAGCCGCCGCGGUAAAAC